UUCAGAUAUCGGAAUAUGCAAAUCCCACCUAUAAGAGGUUGCCAGGGGGCGGUGCUUUAUGCUAAUUUCAGCGCUCCUCUUCGCGUUACGGUUUGAGAAGCCCUUCACAUGUGUCUCCUGCGCAGACUAAUUCGGCUACAUUUUAACUUAAAGACACCUUUAGUGAUACUGACAAAUGAUGAGGCACCACCGCCAUAACCUCGCCCGGACGACUCAAAGAACCGCAACACUUCCACGUCCCUUUCUACCAUCUGGUCCCCAUUUGAUAACGUCAGGGGCCCCACCGCACUACUUUGCCCAGGAGCCUAUGAUGUUGUUAAGAUGGCCCUAAAUAUGGUAAAAUAAAUUUUACACCUCU